rnacentral:rRNA from 1 species
AUGAACGGAGGAAGUGUAGUAUAUGAAUUAAGGACAGCCCCUCAAACAAUGGCUUUUUUCCGAAAGAAGCAAGCUCUGCAGCAUGUUUCGCCUCUAAUUCAGCUGCGAGGCGUGAUAUCUCUUCCUGGACAUGCUUUUUUCUUGGCCUUCUGCUUAGCUUUGCUGCCUUUGGCAGCUGCUUUCUUCAGACUUGUUUCCUUAUCCUGGAGUUUGGAUUUCUCCUUCCUGUUACAUAUAAAAAAGGUCAUUUUCAAGACUGCCAAUUGGAUCCAUACAUGGUCUUAUCUUCGUCGGAGGAAGGACCGGGCAUCCACGGACAUGGAUGCAACCUAUAGCAGACGGUCGCUCGGGAUAUAUACAACUAAUAUGAGUGGCAGCCUGUUAAUAGGAUUUGUGACGCAAGCAUAG